GAAAUUUUAGUUUCACGUCUGUGUUUACCGUUUAGAGAGAGAAGAAGAAGGAAUAGAAAUUUGGGUUUCACGUCUGUGUUUACCGUUUAGAGAGAGAAGAACGAAGAGAAGAAACUAGGGCUGGCCUCAUAGCCAUCAGGGUUUAUAUGGAAGAACGAAGAAGGAAAAGGUCAUCGGCUUCACAAACCAUAAUGGAAGAGGGCUCUAACUGAGUUUUAGAGUGGGAAAAGGAAGGAAGAUGGGUUGCUGAUUUUUGAUACUUUGAAGAGGAUUUUUCUCUCUGAUUUGGGAUGUUGUUUGAGAGAAAGCCUUAACUGAUUUGUGAAGAGGCCCUGACUGAUUUUUACAGAGAGAAAAGUAAGAGGGUUUUCAUUUUAUUGGGAAACAGCAAGCAGAGCUGAAGGAUUAGGUUUGGGGAACUAAUCUAUAUGUACAACUGCUUGCUCCUGUGGAGUGAAAUCAAGCAGCUGUUUGUGGUAAUCAGCAAGGCUUUUUUGGCUGCUUGUGGUAAUCAGCUAGUUUUUUUGGCUGUUUGUGGUAAUCAGCAAGGUUUUUUUGGCUGUUUUACCAUUACUGACAAGUCUUGCUCUGCAAGAAAAAGCGGAAACUGUGAUGGCGGUGGUCAUCACAGAGUUGGAUGAUGAUAUUGUGAGAAGCAUGUCUAUUGGUGCAGUUUUUACAGAUUAUGUUGGAAAGAUCAGUUCUUUUGAUUUUCAUCGAACCGAAGAUCUCUUAGUUACAGCAAGCGAAGAUGAUUCUAUACGCCUUUAUGAUAUUGCAAAUGCUACGGUUUUAAAGACAACGUAUAACAAGAAACAUGGUGUAGAUCGUGUAUGCUUUACCCACCAUCCCAGCUCCAUAAUAUGCUCUUCAAGAUACAACCUGGAUGCUACAAGUGAAUCUCUGCGCUAUCUUUCACUAUAUGACAAUCGAUGCCUCCGUAACUUCAAGGGGCACAAAGAGAGAGUGGUUUCCCUCUGCGUGUCACCAAUCAACGAUAGCUUCAUGUCCGGUUCACUUGACCACACUGUACGAUUGUGGGACCUCAGGGUGAAUGUUUGCCAGGGACUUCUACAUUUACGUGGCAGGCCCACAGUUGCAUAUGAUCAACAAGGUCUUGUUUUUGCUGUAGCAAUGGAAGGAGGGGCCAUCAAAUUGUUUGAUUCGCGUUCCUAUGAUAAGGGUCCUUUUGAUACCUUUCUAGUUGGAGGAGAUACAGCGGAGGUGUGUGAUAUCAAAUUCAGCAAUGAUGGCAAGUCCAUGCUCCUUACGACAACAAACAACAAUAACUAUGUUCUUGAUGCGUAUGGCGGUGAGAAGAUGCAAGAACGAGGCAAAGGCAUUUCAGGGUGGUGGAACUCAGAGCCAAACCCCCGUGCAAACUCCACUCUCUCUACCCACCCCCAGUUGGCAUUUGUGCCUUCUGUGUCCAAGAAAAACUCAUCAGCCUCUCACUUUCUCUCUACCCACCUCUCACCCCCCAACACAUCUCGGAUUCAGGCCAAUACACCUCAGAGUCUCACAUUUUUGGGGUUGGCAAAAUUUCCUCUCUCACCAAGGAAAGAGAUCCACCACCCAUCAGACCAGACUCCACAAAAGUGCUCAAGAUAAUCGUUUCUCUCUCUUCUCGUUCUUCUCUCUCUAACAUCUUGAGGAGAGAGAAGCACCCACAACUCACUCGUGAAAGAAGUUAUUCCUCCGCUCUCUACCACAUCGAGAGAGAAGAAUUACCUACGAGAUGUGGAUUUAGUCUAGACCCAUGUCCUAAUUCCACAAUUGAAGCAACUUUCACUCCAGAUGGACAAUUUGUAAUAUCAGG